rnacentral:lncRNA from 10 species
CGGGGUUUCACCAUUUACUUACCUAGACUGUCUCAAACUGCUGGGCUCAAGCGAUGCACCUGCCUUGGGGGAUUCUUAGUAAAUCUACAGGGCUGUGCAACCAUCACCACAAUCCAGUUUUGGAACACUUAAAUCACCUGGAAAAGAUCCCGCCUGUCCAUCUGCAGCCAAUCCUGGCCAUAACUCCCGAAGCCCCAGGCAGAAUGUACCAAGAUUGCAACAUCCUGAGAUAAAGAGGAACAACCCAGGCUCUCUCCACGAUCCUCCUAGAACAGAUGUCCUGCAACACUUGUGAUCAGUUAAGUCAAGUCCUGGCCAGAGUAUAAAACCCAGAGUUGGGGGGUGGUGUGCUUUCUGAGUCCCUCAGCUGCAGUGUGAAGUGGAGCUCGUGCAGAUGAGACUUCCUCUGUCCUAUGCACCUUUCUUGAGGCUUGGGGACCAGCUCACCGUGGAUCCUAGGCUUCUGUUGGCUUUUGCCGCCUUUCUGGGAGUAAUAAAGUUGCUUUGCCUUACUUGUGUAAGUGUUCUAUCUCCCUGGACUUAUACUCGGACAGCUGGGUUUGUGCAAAAUCUCCUAGCAAAUGCAGGAAUCUUAGCAGAAAUUAACGAGGUGUUUAGAGCCCUCCCUUGGGAUUGGUAAUCAGUGUGUGAU